AAUAUACCAGUAGUGCAUCCUACA
rnacentral:miRNA from 9 species